UAUUUUUUGAGUGAGGAAACUGAAGCUUGCUAUGAUUAUAUAACUCACUGUAAGCUCCAAGUGGCAGAGAUAGGUGCUUGGAUUCUGAUUCAUUAAUUGUUUGGCCACUGCCAUAUUUAUGAAUUUACAGGUGCUCUUUAACAGCACAUGUCAUCAAAAGUUUAGAUCACAAGGUUUCCUGCCUAUUAAAAUCUCAGGGUGAAUGUAUUUCCUUAAAUGGGUUUUCAUCACCUUCUAUUUCUGCCUUUUUCUUUUCUUUUUACACAGUUCCCAAAGGAUUUGACUGAUGUAGCUUUCAUUUUAAGCUACCAUUAUGAUCCAUCUGGGUUUUUGGUUUCGAGAGCCACCAUGUAACUUAACACGCAGCUUUUCCUCAGCCUUCAAAAUUAACUCUCAAAUGUCAUUUUAUCUUUAUAGAUAUGUUCCUGCUGGUAUCUUAAAGAGAAAGAAGAAUACUGGUUAAUUCAAAAAAGCAAAUAGCAAGGAAGCCGUAAGGUUGAAGAUAUAUUUCAAAACAGAAUCCUAGUUAUAACCGGACUUAGCUCUCUAUGAAAUUGGUUACCAGGCUUCAUUUCGGUUGCUGUCGCCUCUGGACCCCAUCGCCCCUGUUGAGAUCAAGAAUCCCAUUUCAAAGGAAACAUGCUUCAUCUUCUUGGCCUACCAAAUCAGAAAAAAAUCUUCAAAUUCAGAUGGAGCCACAAGGAUCCUUGAACAGCCAAAACAAUUUUGAGGAAGAAGAACAAAGCUGAAGGCCUCACUUCUCUGUUUUAAAAUAUAUUGCAAAGUAACAAUAAGUAAAACAAUAUGGUACUGGCAUAAAGACAGAAAUAUACACCAAUGGAACAGAAUAAAGAUCCCAGAGAUAAACACACACAGUUAACUGGUUUUCAAUAAGGGUACCAAGAAUAUAUAAUGAGGGAAAGAUGGUCUCUUUUACAAAUAGUGUUGGGAAAACUAGAUAUACACAUGCAAAAGAAUGAAAUUGGACCCUUGUCUCACACCAGAUGAGUCCUGUCCAAAAAAUCAACUCAAAAUGGAUAAAAGACUGAAACGUAAGACCUGAAACUGUAAAACUGUUAGAAGAAGACAUGGGAGAAAUCUCCUUGAUAUUGGUCUUGGCAAUAGUUUCCUAAAUAUGACACCAAAAGCACAGCCAAAAAAACAAAAACAGACAAGUGGAAUGACAUUAAACUAAAAAGCUCCUACACAGAGAAGGAAACAGUCAACUACGUGAAAAAGCAAUCUACAGAAUGGGAGAAAA
rnacentral:lncRNA from 1 species